UUCAGGACGUCACAUGUCUGCCAUCCAACCACAUGAGUGACUGCUGGUGAAGGGGGUUAACGGCCAUCAUGAAGUUUGUGAUUUGAAUAUUUCAGAGACAGUAGAAGAGAUAAGAGUGGUGCUCCUCUCAGAAGUAAGAGAAACAAUAAGCACAUGUUGGCGGCAAUGAUGGACAAGACCUUUGCACACAGACUGCAAGAGGUAGUUGGAGAGGCCCCCACGAUAGCUGAUUUCAAAACGAGGUGGCCAGCUCUCUUCCAUGUGCAUAAGGUGAGUGCAGAGUUCAAUAGAAUCACAACAAUCCAUUUGCAGUUCUUCUCCGAGUAUGAUGUUCACUCUGCAAACCUGAUGAGGGCGCAUGCCCUGGAAUCUGUUGGAAAGCCGUUUUGAAGCACUGACGGAACUGUAUACUAUAAAUAGGCCUGAAAUAAGGCACUCAAAGCUGUCUUAAAUGGAGAUGGCAGGUAUUUGGCCACUGUGUUUAUCGUGAUACUUGUUCCUAGUUUUUCUUUCCUCUCUAAUCUGUAUAUUCAGAUUGACACUUUCUAAGUCAGAAGAGAAGUCCAGAGAAGCUGGUGAAGGAAUACCCGGUAUGUUAAUUUACCUGUGUUCACUAUGGAGAUUAUCAGAGUGGAGAGUAUUGGGUUUCCUGUGUGUGCCCAUUAGAUUUAAAAUUAGAUUAAGAUAAGGCCAUUAUAAAUCUCUUCUUCUUCUUCUCUCACUUACUUAGUGACACGCACCAUACUGUGGCGUAAUCCCAAAACUGUCCCCUACCUACUAAAACUUUACUACCAAUUGUCAUUCCAAAUCGAGUCGCAUGCUGCUGUGGAGGUUCACUUAAAUAAGGGGGAGGGUAUAAACACACCGACGACUUUUGGGACAUCCCCGCCUUUCUCAGAUGGAAACGUAAGUUUGUGAAAGGGAAAUUAUUAGGAUACUUAAAUAAAACUCACUCCCACAUAAAAAAUCUUUGGCCACAUCAGUUUUAUUGAAUGUGAUUUUUCAUAAUUUAAUUCUUUUAUACAUAAACAGUCUAUUAAAUGUCUGUUUGAGCUAAAGUAACUUGUUACUGAUCUUUUUGGAAAUAACCGCACCAUGCACUGUCGUGGCAUUUCCUCCAUCCCGGGAACAAGACAGGUUCUGCACCUGGAAGAAGUGUGGUUUGUGUAUUGACUCGCUAUGGAGUUCUUCAUAACCCACUCACCCAUAAGUCUGACUGGUUUGGAAUGAGACUCCAUGUGGCAAACCUACAAGCAAAUGUGCAAAUGGAGGGGGAGUAGACAGGGCCAGGGGGUAGGGUGCCUGUUUGGGAUUCAGCCUUUCUCCUUGUCUGUCUCUCAGACAAUAACACACACACACGCAUGCACGCACACACACAUGCACGCGCCAUACUUUAACUCCUUCUUUUUCCUUUAAUGAGACAAUUUACUUUAUUCGGAUGGAAUAACUAACAGUGAGCUCAUGAUUACAACAGACAGACAACAGAGUUGUUGAAGUAUUUCACCAUGACUCCAGCAAAACAGUUCUAAUGUCAAUAGGUUGUUAUUUGAUUACAUUUGCAUUAUUAUAUUAUAAAUAUGGAUUAAGUUAGUGAUAGCCGUUUUACAGAAAUACUGUAAAGAUUGUGUGCUAUAAAUAUUGAUGCAAUGAACAUCAUGAAAUGGCCAUAGCGGAGACAAUAUUUGGAAUCUUUCUCAUUCGACAAGAAGGUACAGAGCCUGGCGAUGACCCUGCGGAUGUUGGGAUUGUCCUGGAGGGGGUGGAAGUGAUGAGUGAGUUGGGCAAUGUAGCUUUUGCUGUGGUGAUGUUGCUGGGUCUUGUCUACACGCUGAACCUGAGCUACCCUUGUUUAAAGAUGUCCCUAGCGACUUUUCAAUGUAAACAUUUUAAAUAUAUUUGUAAACAAAUGUUCUAACUUUGGUAAAUAUUUUUUAUUUCACCAAGAUUUACAAAAUGCAAAUGUUAAGAGUAAUGUGAAAUGAUCAAGGGGUAUGUGAGUAAGAGGGCCCAUUUCCUAGGAUCUUCAGUUUAUCAGUUUCACAUAACAGACAUGAGAUAUUUUUCCUUGUUGUGUUGUGAACAAGCAACUGCACUGCCAGUGUAAAACAAUGCACAUUAUAGUUUUGGAAAUACAGUUUGAUUAUA